AGUAGCUCAGUCGGUAGAGCACAAGACUUUUAAUCUUGGGGUCCCGGGUUCGAGUCCCGGUU
rnacentral:tRNA from 1 species